rnacentral:rRNA from 1 species
AACGAACGCUGGCGGCGUGCCUAACACAUGCAAGUCGAGCGUGAAAGUCCCUUCGGGGGCAAGUAAAGCGGCAGACGGGUGAGUAAUACAUAGGUAAUCUACCUUCGAGAUUGGGAUAACCCUGCGAAAGUGGGGCUAAUACCGGAUAAGACCACGUGGCUUAAGUCGCGUGGUAAAAGGUGGCUUGUUUUUAAAUGAGCUAUCACUUGAGGAUGAGCCUGUGGCCUAUCAGCUUGUUGGUGAGGUAAGAGCUUACCAAGGCUAUGACGGGUAGCUGGUCUGAGAGGACGACCAGCCACACUGGGACUGAGACACGGCCCAGACUCCUACGGGAGGCAG